AGAUACACUCUUGGAAACAUUUGUUUAUAGAAAGAUUUCAUUCUAAACCUUGUCUCAAGAACAGUUAAGGCUAGUGGAGCUCUUCUACAGACUAGCCUGUUCUCCCCAAGCUACAGUAAACAUCUGAUUCAGCCCCAGGGUCUAUUGUAUCACAACCCCUUUAACACUGAGCUGAUAGUAUUGUCAAUUGCAGUGUAUUUUUGGAAGAGAUCCUACUUUGGGAGUUCUUAAAUUAGUCCUAGCAAGUCUGCUUUUAAAUUGACUUUUUUUUUUUUUUAAAUAGUACAUGUUGACAGCAGAGAAACUAGAAGAUAAGUCAGAUUUCAGAUUAGUGAACUUGGUGGGGGGGGGGGGGCGGGUAUUGUGCCUGCUUUUCCCACUCAAGAUUCUAUAAAUACAGAAUCUCUCUCCAUGGUUCCUCACACAACAGAUGGUUGUUUUUGCAAACUCCAUGGUGGUUAUGUUGCUUUUUUGUUACUUUGGUCACUUUCUCACUCAAUAGGUAGAUUUCCAAUGGUAGCCUUGGCUACUCAGGGCUAUGCCAAUUAAAUUUGCAGAUUUUCUUUAAAUACCUAAUAUGUGUUCUUCUGCUUGAACUGCCCUAAAAUUGUGUUUUUUAAGCAAUCGAGUUAUCCCAGCCCUGCCAGCCCUGCUCCCCUAAUUUAAUUACAUUUCCUAUCCCAAGAACACCUAGUUCUUACGAUUAUUUCUUCUGAAAGCAACUUCCCUUUCCCUCUCUUCGUUUUCACUGCUUCAUCAUUACCCCAAAUUAGUGUCCCUUUUUUCUAGAGGAAUAUUUCAUGGACUCUGACUGAGCAAGCAUGGAACCAUCCGAUUGCCUGUUCUGUCUUCCCCAGCGAUGUCUUGUAGCACAUGAAAUAAACAAGAGAGAACUUUAGGUCAGAGGAAGCGUCAACACCCCCAGAUAGGGUCAGAUGUGAAGUAUGGCUGACACCAAAGAAUAAAAAUCUGGGAUUUCUGGGUUCUAGCUUUUCAAUCUCCCUAAACUCCAGACUUGAUCUUCUUGAGAAAAUCCUUAUGACUUAUCCCUUCUGGGCCUCACUUUCAACAUCUUUAAAAAAAUAAAAGAUAUUCAUACCUUUCAGCUUGUAGUCUGUGGUGGAUGGAGGAAAAGAAGAAGACAGUCGAUCGAACUAUGCUUUGAGUACUUGUUGAAUGACCCUAUAGUUAUGACAUUUGUAGGACUUGAAAUGGUAAGGUUAUCACCGAAAACAGAAUGCAGGCUAACUGGAUACUGAAUAUGGCAGCAUUUGCCAACCCCACUACCUGCCAAGGCCCUAAAAUUCACCAAAGACAACCAGUAACAUGCUGGUUAGAAGUAUCUUUACACUAAGACUAUUUUUCUGGGCAAAGAAGUUCCAUCCCCAACAAUAAGACUUAUAAUCAGAGGCUAUUCAAGGUCCAGAGAAAAACCCACGAAAAGGUCCUUGAAUAAGGUAUUUGUAGCCUCUGAACUAUGAGGGAAGCUCAUGGAAAAAUCUUUCAGCCCUAGCUGUAAUCUUCACCCAACUCCCUGUUUUCCCAGAGAGGACGUGACAAGACAUGACUUAUUGCAGUUACGUGCCUGGGGCGUAGUACCUGCCUAACACAUUUCAUGACCUAUCCCAAACACACCUCAAAAAUAACUGCAUAUUCUUUUCUUCAUUGGAAUCUACACCCAGCCUACUUCUUUCCUCCUCCACUAAGGUUUUUUUUAACUUAAAACAAUUUUAUUGGUCUUUGAAACAGGUACUUUCUCUUAGCUGUGAAAAUGGAUACAGAAUAUGUACUAGAGAAAAAGAACAGAACCGAUCACCUCUCUCCCAAUUGCCCUUUGCAAAAGAUGCAACUUGGUUGACAAAAGUUCAUGAGAUCCACCUUGUGGGUAACCAUAUAAGAUUCUGUGUGGUUUGACUAACUCAUUGUAGGAUACGUACUUCUCUGAAUUCUAAGCCAGAAGUUUUGCUUCCUCUCUUGUGUGUUUUAUGGCAACUGACUUGAAAAUUUUUUUUCACUUAAAAUUAAUUCAGAUAUGACCACCGAAAGGUUUUGUUCAUUUUUUAGGAAUUGUCGGUCGUGGACCAGCGACACUGGCACCCUCAGAGACCAUUAUUACUAUCCACGACUUCCAUAGAUUUUAGAGUCCCCCCGCCCCCUGCAUUAUCUCUUUUGAUCCUGUUGACACAGACAAAGAAUUCAGCUAAGGAUCCAAAGAUGCUGGGGAAGGAAAAGUCAGGCUGGGAUUGCCCCUGCUUCUCAGAAAAUGCCGCUGUGAUGCAUGUAACCGAUUAUGUCUAGAAAUCAGACUCCAAUGACAGAGCCCGGAAGUGGAGGGAGAACAGGGGCUCUCCUAUGAUGGAAAAGAAUCCGAUGACACGGUCUCAUGGAGCAAAGAGAAUUCUGACCGAGUCCUCCAGAGGAGAGCCUAGAUCUCAGUCACCUUUCCAGUCCGGGACGCGGUGGUGCAGGCCCUCUGCCAGGUGCUGCUCAGCAUGUCAGCCCACGUCCACACUGCCACGAGGGAACCUUCUGGAACACACACUUGACUGCGACACUCAUCUGUUUCAGAGUGUCCAACAAUUGAUUUCCCUGCUGCUUCCAAGCCUAAUCCAGCCUCACGAACUACAGGCCCUCGAACACGUCCAACACCACCAGGACUCCAGUCUUUUGUCAAUACUGCUCUCUCAGCCUGGACCGUCCCCUCCACUCCACACAGUUCCCUGAAAGCGAACAGUGUGGCUGUCAUCUUCGCACAACCCAUGUGUCCCAGCCUUGUGCCUGGCACGUAAUAGGGACUUAGUAACUUUUGAAUAAAGAGCUCCCAGGUUUUUAAAAAAAAAAAUUUUGGGGGCGCCUGGGUGGCGCAGUCGGUUAAGCGUCCGACUUCAGCCAGGUCACGAUCUCGCAGUCCGCGAGUUCGAGCCCCGCGUCAGGCUCUGGGCU